rnacentral:misc_RNA from 1 species
AGGCCGAGCGAGGGUCCGGGUCCCACUGAGCACGAGGAGCCAGCAUGGAGGAGCCGCAGCGAGGAACCCGUAGGUGCCCAGCUGCUCUCAGGCUUUAACUCGAGGUCCCUGGAGGUGCUAGGCAGACGGAGGAGGUGACCAGAUCGAUCAGUGACGACGGCGAACAGAGAGCUCUUCUUCUGAGAUGUCCUGGGCACUUGUCAACAGGGGCUUGGAGCUGUUUGACUGUGAUUUACCAGAAAGUAGCAGUCAACACAAAGAAUCUGGUAGUAAUACCAAGGCUUCCAGUAUCCACACUCAGCGGCACGGGUAUAAAAGAGCAGCAAAGCAGAAGAAACUUGCUCAGCAAAAACAGAAGGAGGCCAGUAAGGAGCUGAUUCAGAAGAAGGUAACAUGUGUUCUUGAAGAAUACAAGAAAAAGGUCCAAACUGAUCAGACAGCUGACAAUCUCACGUUUCUGAAGAAGAUAGAUAAACGUAGAGCACCAGAGAAGUAUACUAACCAGGUUAAGCAACAGCAUAAUAAAGAGCUCGACAGGAAAACUGUAAAGCGAGACUCUCUGCAAGGAAAGAAAACUACAGAAGAGAAGUCUGUAUUUACUGAGGAAGAUUUUGAAAAAUUGAAUGAAGAGUGGCUGCGUCUCUACUAACAAACGUGGGAUGUCCAGUUCAGUGUUGCAUGCACCCUCAAAGCUGUACUUUUUUAGGAUAUUGAAUAGAUCGGAACCAUUGACGGCAUAGUGAGACAAAUGUUGAUGCAAAUGUGAAGCUAUUACCACCUUUAGUGUGAAUCCAGCUGAAAUUGCCCCAAACUUGUGGUCUUUUUAGUAACUACCUUAAACCUGUGAUUUCAGAAAAAAUAACUGUGUAUAAGUGCCUUUUAACAGUAUCAGAAGACAGUCAUUGGUGUUGAAUGGCACUUGUUAAGUAAUAUUAAACCCUCCCAAAUCAAGAGCAAUGUUUGGGCAUGAUAAAGUGAUUGGUGAAUGUGUUCUUGGUUUAACCUUUUUUGUUGUUGUGUAUUACCUUUUUUGGGUUGUGGGACUACCAUUUACAGACAAGGAUAGUUCCCUCCGCCCUUUCUUCCCUGACCCCAUUAUUGCUAUAAUUGUACCUACUGUAAUCCUUAUUUUUCUUUUGACCCUAACUGGUGUGUAUAUUUUUGGUGCUCUAUACAAAGAUCAUAAGAUGAAGGAAAAAAUGUUGUGAAAUUUGUUAAAUAGAUAUUACUGAUAUUUGCAUUUUAUAUGUCCCUUUAAUAUUUAUAUUAUUUUUAUGGAAUAAAAGUGCUCAAUUUCA